UUGAACGCUGGCGGCAGGCCUAACACAUGCAAGUCGAGCGGAUGAAGGGAGCUUGCUCCUGGAUUCAGCGGCGGACGGGUGAGUAAUGCCUAGGAAUCUGCCUGGUAGUGGGGGAUAACGUCCGGAAACGGGCGCUAAUACCGCAUACGUCCUGAGGGAGAAAGUGGGGGAUCUUCGGACCUCACGCUAUCCGAUGAGCCUAGGUCGGAUUAGCUAGUUGGUGGGGUAAAGGCCUACCAAGGCGACGAUCCGUAACUGGUCUGAGAGGAUGAUCAGUCACACUGGAACUGAGACACGGUCCAGACUCCUACGGGAGGCAGCAGUGGGGAAUAUUGGACAAUGGGCGAAAGCCUGAUCCAGCCAUGCCGCGUGUGUGAAGAAGGUCUUCGGAUUGUAAAGCACUUUAAGUUGGGAGGAAGGGCAGUAAGUUAAUACCUUGCUGUUUUGACGUUACCAACAGAAUAAGCACCGGCUAACUUCGUG
rnacentral:rRNA from 1 species